rnacentral:tRNA from 1 species
GGCAAUCUGUCCGAGUGGUUAAGGAGUCAGACUCGAAAUCUGAUGGGUUCGCCCGCACAGGUUCGAAUCCUGUGGUUGUCG